rnacentral:lncRNA from 1 species
CAGGCUCCCACUACUCAGAGCACUGCUCACACUAGAUGGGAUAAUGGCGCAGGAGGGGAUGGCUGCCGUAUUACGGGCUCCUAGCCAACUGUGCUAUUUUGUUAGUUUUUUUGCAUUGUUUGUAACUCUUUUUGUACAUGAUGUUGCUGCUACCACCUCUUAUGACCAAAAAAGCUUCUGGACAUCAGAACAAUGAUUACUCACCUCGAACUGGAAGAAGAUUCUUUUCUUUAAUGAGUCCGACGUGAAGGAUAUACUGCUUUGUCAUGACAAGGCCCAAAUCCCCGCCAUCAGCGUGAAGAAAAGACAGAGAAAAAGGGGAAGGAGGGCGGGGUGCCUUGUAAGAAUUUGCUGACGAGUAGAGACGUGGCUGAAUGACGACAUGGAUAAUAUAGAGCUGGCUCGCUUCUCCGUGUAUCGGCAGGACAGAGCAGCUACGUCUGGUAAGACGAGGGGCGGGGGUGUGUGUCUAUUUGUCAAUAACUGCUGGUGCGCGAUGUCUAAUAUUAAAGAAGUCUUGAGGUAUUGCUCGCCUGAGGUAGAAUACCUCAUGAUAAGCUGUAGACCACACUAUCUGCCAAGAGAGUUCUCAUCUAUACUAUUCAUAGCCGUCUAUUUAACACCACAAACCGAUGCUGGCACUAAGACCGCACUCACCAAGCUGUAUAAGGCCAUUAGCAAACAAGACUAUAGGAAAAGGAGGGCUGAACAGGCCCCCAUUAACAUUGACGGGGCUGAAGUGAAGUGGGUUGAGAGAUUCAAGUUCCUUGGUGUCCACAUCACCAACAAACUAUCAUGGUUCAAACACACCAAGACAGUUGUGAAGAGGCCAAGACAACACCUUUUCCCCCUUCGGAGACUGAAAAGAUUUGGCAUGGGUCCCCAGAUCCUCAAAAGGUUCUACAGCUGCACCAUCGAGAGUAUCCUGACCAGUUGCAUCACCGCCUGGUAUGGCAACUGCUCAGAAUCUGACCGUAAGGCUCCACAGAGGGUGGUGCGUACGGCCCAGUACAUCACUGGGGCCAAGCUUCCUGACAUCCAGGACCUAUAUACUAGGCAGUGUCAGAGGAAGGCCCAAAAAUGGUCAAAUACUCCAGUCACCCAAGUCAUAGACUGUUCUCUCUGCUACUGCAUAGAAAGCAGUACCGGAGUGCCAAGUCUAGGACCGAAAGGCUCCUUAACAGCUUCUAACCCCAAGCCACAAGACUGCUGAACAAUUAAUCAAAUGGCCACCCGGACUAUUUACAUUGACCCCUCCCCACCCUUAUGUUUUUGUUUUUUACACUGCUGCUACUCGCUGUUUAUUAUCUACGCAUAGUCACUUUACAAAUUACCUCGACUAACCUGUACCCCCACACAUUGACUCAAUACCGGUACCCCAUGUAUAUAGCCUCGCUAUUGUUAUGUGAAUUUCUUGUUUUACUAUUUGAUUUCAUUGAUUUUCAGCCAUCAACCGCAAAUCUGCUAUUUGCCUACAUUUUACAAGCUUCAGUGUUACGUUUUACUCCGGGUUUGCUCUGGCUAAAAAUGUGUGAUGUCCACCCUGCUUUAGAAAGCGCUCUACCACAAGCCAGAUUAGCAAAACAGACAAUGAUACCUCUGGUCCGCUCAAUGUACAUGCAUAACACUCAUACCGGACACCGGGCAUGUAACCUCGGCUGCUCCUCAGAAGCAAAUGGAGGAGGCGAAUAGGGAAAAAGUUUAAAAGCGAGAGACCUGAAGGACAUAGUAAUGACCUUUUUGGUGAAGGCUGCAUUUGGACGCAACGUCACCUUAGAGUUUCCAAGGGCAAACUCCAUACAGGAGGGAUGAACAGAAACGCAUGGAGAUCUCCAACUUGUUUACCCAAGGCUAAAGCCAUGAGCAGGGCUAUCUUGUAGGAGAUGAUCUUCAGAUCCACAGACUCCAUCGGUUCAAAGGGGGCCGCACGCAACACCUCCAAAACCAAAGCCAACUCCAAAGUGGACACAAUAGGUUCCAAAACCAGCCUGAGAUGGCACACACACCACCAGGGGAAGAGCGCAUGGUAGGGUUUGGCAGUAUCCAGAUUUACAAACCUUCAUACUGUGCCUCUGCCAUCCCGGGAUAUAUGGAAUUACAGGUAGUACACAUAAGGGGCGCAAUUAUUUUUUCAAGUGUAAAAAAGGCACAAAAAACAUCACUUACCAGAAUGCUAACAAAAUGCUAACAAUUACUAAGGGACUCUCAUAGCAGAUGCUAGAUAAAUGCUAAUGAGCACAUGCAAACAUUUACUACUAGGACAGACAACCCAGCUCAUAAUGUCAUGCAAGUAUCUCAAAACACAGUUUGCAGCACACACAAAACAACUAUUAUCUUAAUCCAGGAGGGUAUUGUCUCUGCUGCUGUUACCAAGAAGCUUGAUCUUGCAAGCUAACGUUAGCCACUUAGCUAACAUUACCAAGUUAGCAAAACCCAGCUGGAGAGAAUUUAUUUGGCACAUCUUAGAUAGUUAACUUAAUAGUUGCAAGAUAUAUAGCUGGCAAACAUUAGUAGUGAAUUUCAUACAAGUGUAACUUGAUCACCUCACUUAAGUUGCACUGCAGAGAUGACUCACCUCACAAAGCUACCAUUUUGUUCAUCGUGCUUCUUUAUAAAACAAACACAUGUGACUGACUCAAACCAUAACUAGUACCGGUAAGUUUCAUAAUGAAAAAUAUUCAUAAUGAAAAAUUAUCAAACGGGCGAAAUGAUGAACGCAAUAUGCUUUAUCUAUUACCUGGUGCAUAAGUUCAUCUCGGGCCUAACAACUAGCGUACCAAUAUAUUCUCCAAACACCGGCUUCUUAGGCAUUAUCACUUAAAUGUAAAUACUGUAGCUACCUCAAUUACCUCGUACCCCUGCACAUCGACUCGGUACUGGUUCUCCCUGUAUAUUCCCAUGCUAUUUUUUUACUCGUUAUUGUUAUUCAUUAUUCACUGUGUAUUUAUUUCUUGUGUCACUUUAUCUUUUCCUUUAACUCUGCAUUGUUGG